UGGGGAAUUUUGGACAAUGGGCGAAAGCCUGAUCCAGCCAUGCCGCGUGAGUGAAGAAGGCCUUCGGGUUGUAAAGCUCUUUUAGUCGGAAAGAAAGAGUUGCAAUGAAUAAUUGUGAUUUAUGACGGUACCGACAGAAAAAGCACCGGCUAACUACGUGCCAGCAGCCGCGGUAAUGCGUAGGGUGCGAGCGUUAAUCGGAAUUACUGGGCGUAAAGGGUGCGCAGGCGGUCUUGCAAGUCAGAUGUGAAAGCCCCGGGCUUAACCUGGGAAUUGCGUUUGAAGCUACAAGACUAGAGUGCAGCAGAGGGGAGUGGAAUUCCAUGUGUAGCAGUGAAAUGCGUAGAGAUGUGGAAGAACACCGAUGGCGAAGGCAGCUCCCUGGGUUGACAUUGACGCUCAUGCA
rnacentral:rRNA from 1 species